GGAAGCUUUCGGGUGGAAUGAACUUAACUUAGCGGCGGACGGGUGAGUAACGCGUGGACAACCUACCCUGUACAGGGGGAUAACAAUGGGAAACCAUUGCUAAUACCCCAUAACACCUUUUAGGGGCAUCCCUUUAAGGUCAAAGAAUUUCGGUACAGGAUGGGUCCGCGUCUGAUUAGCUAGUUGGUGAGGUAAUGGCUCACCAAGGCGACGAUCAGUAGCCGGCCUGAGAGGGUGAACGGCCACACUGGAACUGAGACACGGUCCAGACUCCUACGGGAGGCAGCAGUGGGGAAUAUUGCACAAUGGGCGAAAGCCUGAUGCAGCAACGCCGCGUGAGCGAUGAAGGCUUUCGGGUCGUAAAGCUCUGUCCUAAGGGAAGAUAAUGACGGUACCUUAGGAGGAAGCCCCGGCUAACUACGUGCCAGCAGCCGCGGUAAUACGUAGGGGGCAAGCGUUAUCCGGAAUCAUUGGGCGUAAAGGGUGCGUAGGCGGCCCUAUAGGUCAGAGGUCAAAGGCUACGGCUCAACCGUAGUAAGCCUUUGAAACUGUAGGGCUUGAGUGCAGGAGAGGAGAGUGGAAUUCCUAGUGUAGCGGUGAAAUGCGUAGAUAUUAGGAGGAACACCAGUGGCGAAGGCGACUCUCUGGACUGCAACUGACGCUGAGGCACGAAAGCGUGGGGAGCGAACAGGAUUAGAUACCCUGGUAGUCCACGCCGUACACGAUGAGUGCUAGGUGUCGGGGGUCGAACCUCGGUGCCGCAGCUAACGCAUUAAGCACUCCGCCUGGGGAGUACGUUCGCAAGAAUGAAACUCAAAGGAAUUGACGGGGACCCGCACAAGCAGCGGAGCAUGUGGUUUAAUUCGAAGCAACGCGAAGAACCUUACCUGGACUUGACAUCCCUCGGACCGCUUUUUAACCAAAGCCUUCCCUUCGGGGACUGAGGUGACAGGUGGUGCAUGGUUGUCGUCAGCUCG
rnacentral:rRNA from 1 species